UACAGAGGUCCCAAGCGUUGUUCGGAUUCACUGGGCGUAAAGGGUGCGUAGGCGGGUCUUUAAGUCAGGGGUGAAAUGCCAAGGCUCAACCUUGGAACUGCCUUUGAUACUGGAGACCUUGAGUCCGGGAGAGGUGAGUGGAAUUGCGAGUGUAGAGGUGAAAUUCGUAGAUAUUCGCAAGAACACCAGUGGCGAAGGCGGCUCACUGGCCCGGAACUGACGCUGAGAUGCGAAAGCGUGGGGAGCAAACAGG
rnacentral:rRNA from 1 species